rnacentral:rRNA from 1 species
UACGGAGGAGGUAAGCGUUAUCCGGAAUUAUUGGGCGUAAAGCGUCCGUAGGUGGUUGGCCAAGUCUGCUGUCAAAGGGUGGGGCUUAACCUCAUAAAGGCAGUGGAAACUGGCGAGCUAGAGUGCGGUAGGGGUAGGGGGAAUUCCCAGUGUAGCGGUGAAAUGCGUAGAGAUUGGGAAGAACAUCGGUGGCGAAAGCGCCCUGCUGGGCCUGCACUGACACUGAGGGGCGAAAGCUAGGGGUGCGAGAGGG